UGGUUACAAAAAACAAAAAAUAGAAAUUUCUGUAAAAUACUUUCAAAAUGCUACUUCUCCUACAGUAUUGGUUUAAAUACAGUAUAACUUGGCACACAAGUAGACAACACUAUGAUACUUAAUUCUAUUUAUUGCUGUUACAAAGUUUCAAUCCAAGUAUUACUUUUCUCUUCCUUUGUUAUAAGUACAACCCAGUAGAGCGACUGUGAGUCUCAUCAGAGACUUCUGGUUUUUGAGCAUCUUUUUUCUAGGAAGACUAAGUUUCUAGGAAGAUAUUGACCUUAAGUUGAGUUGACGCUUUUUCUCUUUGAAGAUUAAAGAUUUGGGGACAAUCAAGAAUUAAAGUGGCUGAAGUCAUGGAGACCCAAUCUCAGUUCACAGGGAAUACCACGGACUGCAAGGAAGGACAUUGGAACUGGCUUAUGUAUUCCAAUUUUGAUUGCAGUUGAUGAAAGAUGUCGUACUUAGGGAAACAUUAGAUGAAAUUACUUUGAAAUACCCCUAGUUUGUCAACUUCUAGCCAAGAUCCUACAGGUUAGUUGAAUUGGAGAACAGAUGUACACACAGUAGAAAGGAUAUUACCUGAAAACAUCAAAUGACGGGGAAAAAAGAAGACUAGCUGCCUAUUUCAGAGAUAUAUAUUUUCACAGUAUCAUCACCCAUAGCACUACGAUCAAAAAUUAAAAAUGACAUUAAGGAAGAAAAAAAAUGAAGACACUGAUCAAAAAGAAAAGAAGUUGGAAGAGUUUCGAAUAUUAUGUCUGAAUAUUCUGUCAACAACACCAUAGAUCUGGAGAGGGAUUUUUUUGCCUAAUAAUUUAUAUUAAUGCAUGUACAUUUAUUUUUUAAUUCUUUUUUAUAUAUAGUGUUGCCUUUUUUUCA